rnacentral:misc_RNA from 1 species
CCUGAUCCACGACCUCCAUCAAAUUCUCUUGGCCUUCCCCAGCUCCCUCCUUCUUGGUCCGUACCACCACUAUUCCCACUCUCACCUUCUUUCCAACCCCCUGCAGCUUCUUUACCCCAAGAAGAUCCACCAUCCUGUUUACCCCAAGUAGAUCUGGUAUCUUCUCCCCCACCAGAUCCAGCUUCCUUCUUAUUCCAAGUAGAUCCACCACUUCCUUUGUCCCAAGAAGUACCUCCAGCUGGCUUGGAGAAAGAUCCAUCAUCCUUUUUGUUCCAAGAACCACCAUCCUGCUUGCUCCAAGAGGUUUUGCUGUCAUCAGCCUUGCUCCAACUAGAUCCGCCAUCUUGCUUUUCCCCGGCAGUAUCUGCAUUUGCAUCAGAUUGCUUACCCCAAGAAGAUCCACCAUUGCUUUUAUUCCAAGAAGAUCCAGAACCCUGCUGGUUAAAAGAGGUUUUGCUUUCUGGCUUACUCCAGCUAGAUCCACCAUCUUGCUUUUUCCAGUCAUUAUCUGCCUUUGCAUCAGAUUGCUUACCCCCCCAAGAUGAUCCACCUUCACCUUCACUCUUCUUCCAAGAAGAUCCAGCAUCCUGCUGGCUCCACGCGGUUUUGCUAUCUGUCUUAUUUGAUCCACCAUCCUGCUUUUUCCAUCCAGUUUCAGCAUUUGCAUCUGAUUGCGGACCCCAAGAAGAUCCACCCGCUUGCUUACUUGAAGAUGAUCCACCAUCACUUUUAUUCCAAGAAGAUCCGGCACCCUGCUGACUCCACGAGGUUUUGCUAUCUGUCUUGUCCAAUCCACCAUCUUGUUUUUUCCAGUCAGUCUCUGCAUUUACAUCAGAUUGCUUACCCCAAGAAGAUCCACCAUUGCUUUUAUUCCAAGAAGAUCCAGAACCCUGCUGGUUAAAAGAGGUUUUGCUUUCUGGCUUACUCCAGCUAGAUCCACCAUCUUGCUUUUUCCAGUCAUUAUCUGCCUUUGCAUCAGAUUGCUUACCCCCCCAAGAUGAUCCACCUUCACCUUCACUCUUCUUCCAAGAAGAUCCAGCAUCCUGCUGGCUCCACGCGGUUUUGCUAUCUGUCUUAUUUGAUCCACCAUCCUGCUUUUUCCAUCCAGUUUCAGCAUUUGCAUCUGAUUGCGGACCCCAAGAAGAUCCACCCGCUUGCUUACUUGAAGAUGAUCCACCAUCACUUUUAUUCCAAGAAGAUCCGGCACCCUGCUGACUCCACGAGGUUUUGCUAUCUGUCUUGUCCAAUCCACCAUCUUGUUUUUUCCAGUCAGUCUCUGCAUUUA